UGAAUAGAUGGUCAGGUGCAUUACUAAGGGUGGGCUGGAGGAAAACACUUUCCAGGCUGGGGUAAAAGCAUGUACAAAGGUCCAGAGGCCAGAAAGAGGUGGUUGAGUUUAGGCCGAGAAAGAGCUGGAGUUUACCUAGUGACAGGAAGCAUAGGGAAGGUGAUGGGAAGCAUAGGGAGGGUGAUGGGGCUGAGCUUUCUCUGCCAAUGCUUGCAGCCUGCAGGCUCUAAUGCACUUUCAGACUGUUUGUCUAUUUUCUCGGAAUUUCCCAACAUGACCCCAAAAGUUCCUUGCUUUUACUCUUGCCCCUGAAGCUAGACCCCCUAGGGGCUCCAGAAAUCUCUACCAAUAGGAGUUUGUUGCCAAGCCUACAGUCGGCAACAGGGCCCUAUUUCUCUUUGGGAUUUCUGGGCUAGCAUUCCAGGCCUCAGGAACCUCCUUCCACCAAAGGGGAUUCAGGAAAAGCAGGGCACACAGAGGGUGUGGCUGGUGUGGGCUUCCCCCAGCUCAGCAUAUAUAUGGGUGCGUAGGUGUUACUGGCAACAUGUGCAGCUGCACUGUCUGGGAGGAACAGCCCGGUACCCACACAAAGCACACGCCUGUGACAUCACCCAGACCAUCCCUGCUUGGGCCUAUUUCUGUGCACACUCAUGUUUCAGCAUGCCCUGGCCUACGCCAUUCUUGUGCCUGGAGUGUGGGGGACUGGGAAAAAUCCAGUCCAACUACAGCCCAACUUCCACACUCUGGCCUGUGGGCUUGUCUUUGCAGCUGUUUUAUUUUAUAACAACUUAGAACAGUGGUUGGCAUAUUGUGAAUGCUUUGUAACUAAUUUAUCCAUGUUGGCUCAUUUCUUCCUCAUUACAGCUCUGGGAAUUUUCUUAUUCCCACUUUACAGAAGAAAAUCUGAGGCCCAGAGAGAUGAAAAGACAUGUACAUGGUCACACAGCCAAUAGGUGGCAGAGAUAAGAUUCCAAGCCAGGCAUUCUGGCUCCAGAGUCAGUGCUGUAUCACCUCCCAUGUACGAACACUGUCAAUAUCCUCACCCCUUUCCCAAGCACUUCUAUCUGAUGCAUUUUCCUUUUUUAUUUUGUUCAGUGUUGUCCAGGUUGGGCUCUUUGGGAAGUGGACUCUAUGACAGGUUAGCGGGCAGAGUGUUGAUUAGGGAAUGCCCCUGGGAUCAGCGCUGUGGAGGGGACAGGAAGGAAACAGAAGUAGGCACAGGGGGAAAUUAAGCUGUGAUGCAGGCUUGAUGACAGCCUCAGCCAACCCCCAGGGAGCUCUGUUAUCGGCACUGAAAUGGAUUUGGGUUGUCUGGGAAGAGUGCAGCUUUGGCCACAGGGCUCUGUGCAACUGAGGUGAUCACAGGGGAUUGGCAGCUGAGGUUUCCUGCCACCAGCUCUCCCAGCAGUUGGGGCAACAAGGCCUUCCUGGAAGGGGUGUCUCCUUGGUGGUACAUCACUAUGCUCACCACUAAUGUAUUUCUUUCCUGCCACUUAAAAAAAAUCAGAAUACCUUAAACAAAAAUAUUCUACUGUAAAAAUAGGAUAUGAGCCAGGUACGAUGACGCAUGCCUGUAAUCCAAGUGGCUCAUGAGGCUGAGUCAGGAGGAUCGUGAGUUCAAAGCCAGCAUCAGCAACAGUGAGGUGCUAACUUAGUGAGACCCUGUGUCUAAAUAAAAUACAAAAUAGGACUGGGGAUGUGAUGUGGCUCAGUGGUUGAGUGCCCCUGAGUUCAAUCCCUGGCGCAUACACACAAAAAGGGAUAUGAGAUUCUAAAAGGGGGACUAUAAUAUGGCUAAUAAGGGUUGAUGCAGCUGUGACAGCAUCAAAUAUGGCUGAGCUUCCUGGCAUCCAAAGCAGUUACACUUUCUAUUCUGAUUUCUUGGGCAAGAAUUUUUUUUCCUGAGAUUAAAUUAUAAGACAAGUUUCUCACGUGGAUACUUAUUUGGCUGAAACAGAAGACUCUUCUCAGUAGAUUAAUAGCAAAUGCUAACGCAGUUUUCAUUUGUUCUCUGUAAUGAUGGUGAAUAAAUAUAGGAGGGGUAAUUUAAAAGCAUAGUUAAAUGAAGCCCCUUCCACAGAGGAGGCAUAUUUACUGACUUGCAGUGUCCAAUUUAAUCCAUGCAUAAAACUGUGUUCGUUUUCUUUAAAUUGUUCUUUUUACUCAGUUUCCUUGGGAGACAUGCUAAGUAGCAGCACAUGGCCAGUACUUCCUAAGCGUUCAUCUUGAUGUACCUUGAGCUUCACACCCUAACCUGCAAUCUAGGCUCUUGACCUCUGGCCUCCAAAUCUACCUAUGGUUCCCACUUAGUCAUUGGCUUCACAAUUUUUUUUUUUUAAAUGCAGUGUUAGGGAUCAAACCAAGGGCCUCACUCAUGCCAAACAAGUGCCCUACCACUGAGCCACAUGCCCAGCCUGUGCAUCACUUUUCUGAGGUUAUGUCUUCCUGCUUUUCUCCUCACCGGGUGUGUAUUCACAGGCCCUCAAGAGCCCUGUUUACUCACUCCAGGCAAAAUCAUACCCAGCCCAGUGGCUCCCAGGGUUUCUGCUCUUUCCAGUCUUUGCUACCUUCUUGCUGUUUGGCCCCAUUGAGGCUGUGCUUCAUGCUACCUACUGUGAUUGCUUCAUAGAGGUCGAAUUAUGGAACUGAAGAAUGAGAAGGGGAAACUGAGACCAGGGCAGACCUGCCCCUGCCUCCCCUUGUCUUCCAGCAGUCAUCCCUGGUGCCACCUCUAGAUUGCUUAGACAGCAGGGCUGAAUCAUACCAAGUUCCCACUCCUCCAGGAGUGGGUAUAGAAAUGCCAGCAGCACACACUAAUUCCCUGUGAUAUAAGGGCAUAAGAGCAUAAGAG
rnacentral:lncRNA from 1 species